rnacentral:lncRNA from 1 species
GCCAAAAGGCAAAAUUGAACUUGACCUCCACAGGUCUUUUUACUGCAUUUGAAAUUAUUUAUUGUUCAUUGUCUUAUUCUAUAUUUAUAUAUAUUUUUUUUAAAUUUGAAGCUUGUGCCUUUUCGCAUCUAUUUAGAUAGACUAGGCCAUGGCAAGCCUUGAGAGACAGUACCCAUUUGCUUCUAAUAUUAAAUCCUUGCAUUUCUUUCCAAUUGAAUAUAAAAGUAACCAACAGUGCUUUGUGUUAUAGUGACACCUGGUGGUACUUUUGUUUUAGCUUUUGUUUUUGAAAAUCUUAUUUUGUCUAGAACAUCUCUUGGAAUGAAUAUUUUAUCCAUUAGGAUGUGUCUUAAGAGGCUGCUCCCUUCCUGGCUCUCAUCCUCUUUUGUAGAAGAGAUUGUGUGGCCAGAAACCAUGCAGGAGACAACCAAUAUACCCUAUAUUUCUACCUUUGGCUUGAGAAAAAUCUAUGCCCUGUGUACAGGGGGAAAUUAAGGCCAAAAGAAUGAAGUUAUUUUUACAUGGUAAUAUUAGAAGUAUUUGUGCUGAUAUUUUAUGACAUGAAGUAUUUCUGAGGAUGUGUACUUUUUGAGAACAUACCUGGCACACACCAUAAUGCACAUAGUAUUUUAUUUUAUCAUUUUAUAAAAGCCAAGACAGAACUCUAGAGUACCCAAAGUCACAAGUUAAUCAACUUGGUUAAAUCUCGAGGGAAUCCAGAAUUUUUAAGUGAACUCUAUAUUUUAAUUUGGACAAUGAGAAAAUUUACAAUU